GAUAUCCCUUUCACCUGGUACAGCCAUUCAUAGCUGAUGCUUAAAUCAAUGCACAUUUUCAUCCAUCAUUCCCAACUUAAAAAACUGGGAAAAAGCGAUAUAUUACUGGUACAUCAUAACGAAUGUAUUCUGUACAUUGCUCAUUUUACUAUUAUGUCAUUGAUGCAACCGUCUUCAAUACCUUUGUGUGUUCUUUUGCUUUCUCCUUGUCGUUUGCUCAUCGUAGGCGUUGGCUUCAGGAUCUCAGGGUCCAGUCGGACCACCUGGGCCACAGGGAGAACCCGGCCCACAAGGAAAGGAUGGCUUGGCUGGAUCUGCUGGAGCAAAGGUGAGCAUCUCCAUCGCCCGUCACUGUAGGAAGAGCCCUCACGGACCCAGGCAGAGGGAGGGUUCAGUAUUAAGAAGUGCCUUUAGUGUGCAUUCAUUGAAAAUACACUAUAAGCAAGCAAUGCAAUCAAACCCCCUACUUUCUGAUUGGCUCUUGCUGUUUAGGAUUUUGGGAUGUUUUCUUUAGAUUUUUUUUAAAAUAAACAACAUUUAUAUUGGUGCAAUGAUCAUUAAUAGAAAACACUUGAUUUGAUGUCGAAUUUAUUAACUAAGAUAAUAACUUUGGGUUUGAGUCAGAGAGUCAUUCAGAAAAGGUUUGCUUAGAUUACUGCAUUUCCAGUCAGAAGAGGUGAAGGGGAUUACAUUUGCUGAUAACAAGUUCAGUAGAGCGCAACAUCCGGGAGUUAUAUGCUCAAAUGUUUUUCACAUCCAUUUUCCCAGCAACUUUCACUUCCACUUUCCACUCAGUCUAUACCUUAAGAUAGAACAACAGAUAAGUGUUAAAUUGCCGUCCCUCUGAGCUUAAUUUACACCACGGUUGUGCGAGGUCCACUCCCCUCCCUCAACCCCUCCCAUCUCGAGACGAACCACGGCCUCAUGUCAGAUUCCUUCUUAACAAGCAGAUGUGUGCU
rnacentral:lncRNA from 1 species